rnacentral:rRNA from 1 species
AUACGGAGGGUCCAAGCGUUAUCCGGAAUCAUUGGGUUUAAAGGGUCCGCAGGCGGUCAAUUAAGUCAGAGGUGAAAGCCCAUCGCUCAACGAUGGAACUGCCUUUGAUACUGGUUGACUUGAGUUAUACGGAAGUAGAUAGAAUAAGUAGUGUAGCGGUGAAAUGCAUAGAUAUUACUUAGAAUACCGAUUGCGAAGGCAGUCUACUACGUAUAUACUGACGCUAAGGGACGAAAGCGUGGGGAGCGAACAGGAUUAGAAACCCCUAGUAGUCC